UGUGUUUUUCCUCUUUUCCUCCUUCCUGCAGCUCCAUCUUCAUCAUUCUGUGUCCAGUAUAUGUGAACACGUCCAAAGCAUCUGAGCCUCAUGUUACCCGUUUGUGUGUCUGCCCAACAAGGACGUGGUGCUGAAUGCAUCCAGACCCCUGCUGACUGUCUUUGCAGCUUCGGUCAAAGGUACAGUGUCCACUGUGACCCUGAGAGCAGGACACAGCCAGAGAUGGCAGAUCCAGGCUCUCAGCCUCCAGCUGAAACUUCCAGUCCUCCCCCAGCCAGAAGCUCUGAUGCUGGGCUGAGAGACUUUGAUCCUUCCCUGGAUCCAGAAAUCCAGGAGGGAGAAGGAGAACAGGACCUCCUUCCUGAUCUGGAGAGGCCUGAGGGAAAGAAAGAUGGAGCAGACAGAGCUUUGAACAAAUCCAAACCUCCUGAGCUUCACCUCCACAAAGGUGUGACAGGUGAAGGACACCGGCGAAUAGGAGGACAGAAGCUGAGAGCCAUUAGUCACAUGACUUCAGCUGCUGCUGCCUCACCAACCACUGGCCCCUCGGUGUCUGGUAAAAGGACGAUGCUGCUGUCCAAUGAGGCGAGGAGAGAAGUAGCCAAACAGGCGAGAGCCGUGAAGGAGGAACGGCGGGCAGCUCUGGAUGCCCGACAUAAAUACCUGAUGAGCAGGCUGGCCGACGCCGGCAGCCUGGAGGAGGCGGCGGUGGAAGACGCCAUCGUCUCUGAUGACAGAUUCAGUCUGAUCCAUGAAUUCUUUGCUGCAAACGGAUCCAAGAAGCUGAUUUUCUUCUAUCAGGAUGUCAAACAGAGUCUGUCCUCCCGUCAGUCUUCCUUUGUGGACGCAUCAAACUCAGCUGUGGCUCAGAGGAAACUCUUCCUCACUACGGGGAACUCUGAGGGAGGAAGAAAAUGAAAAAGAAAACUUUUGAUGUGUCCAGACAUUUCUUCACAUCAGCUGCCAGCAACCAGUUUCAGCAUGUACAACUGUUGCAUUGUCAACUGUGUCAACGACCAAUGAGGACAUCACUGCUACACUUGAUGAUACUCACACCUUGAAAAAGUGCAAAGGUUUCCCAACAGGACUUCGACGGUUGGUCUUCUUGAUCAAGCUAUAAUCUGUUCUCAUCAAAACCACCAUAAAACCAGUUUGACAGGAUGAUGCUGAUAAAUCCCUCUAGACCUUUUUGUGACAGUAUUAAAAGCUUGCUGGAAAUUCUCUGUACUCAUAUUUGUGCUCAGUAUCUGUAGGAGCCAUUUUUGUGUGGGUACCUCAUGUAUGCCACUAGGGGUCACCUUUUGUGUUACAUAUGGUGUGUCUAUUUAAGGUAGAUAGGUCAUUAGCAGCAGGUGUGUUGUUGUUGGGAAGGAGCAAACAGAUUGUGACCGCUGCGCUGUUAUGUUAAAUUGUGUUGGAAUAAAGAAUCUAAAGGACAAGAUAAGUAUGGUUUCAGUUAUUGAACUAAGUUUAAUACGUUUAUUCAUACCAGUGACAUUGCAUUAACCUGCCAACAAACAGCUCAGUGGCUUUAAAUGUAGGCUUAGCCUCGACAGCAUCUAUAACACCAUUAAAAUGCAGUAAUGGCCACACAAAAAAUAAAACGUGACCAUAUUCAGUUUAAGCCAUUUUAUGUGGUUUAGUUUAUACACUUGAAUCACAGUAGAUGAUA